CAGGAGGAACCGCUGCCGACCGAGCCAGCCCCCAAUGCCAGUGCCCUCGUCGCCUCCUCCACGGCAAUCCAGCCAGAGCAGAAGAACACCCUCGGCAGGCCGCCUCUUCCGUUGCGCCAACACGCAGCAAGCCAAUCCAAACAAGCUGGGGGCGGCCCGAAGGCCUCUUGUCCAAUCGGCUGCCUGAUUCGAGGCGGAUCGACCGCGCCUCCGCCCAAUGAAAGGCUCGGGGCGGGGCGGAGGACGGCAAGGGAGGGGAUCCGGGCUGGGCAGAGGAGAAGGCGGUGUUGCUGAGCACAGAGUGAUGGCGGCGCCGCCCAAUAGACGCGUUGGUGGAGGGGUCUGCGCCCCCUUACACCGGGGUGCACAGGAAGCCACCCCAGAGGGAUCCUACAAAAACCAAGAAAACGUAUAGCUACUCUUCUAAAUCUCAGUGCCCAGCAUUGCCUACGUUUCUGCCUCCCCCAGCAACAA